GAUGAACGCUGGCGGCGUGCUUAACACAUGCAAGUCGAACGAAGCAUUUAAGGACGAUUCUUCGGAUGAGGACUUUUAUGACUGAGUGGCGGACGGGUGAGUAACGCGUGGGUAACCUGCCCUAUACAGGGGGAUAACAGUUAGAAAUGACUGCUAAUACCGCAUAAGCGCACUAGAACCGCAUGGUUCGGUGUGAAAAACUGAGGUGGUAUAGGAUGGACCCGCGUCUGAUUAGCUUGUUGGUGGGGUAACGGCUCACCAAGGCGACGAUCAGUAGCCGGCCUGAGAGGGCGACCGGCCACAUUGGGACUGAGACACGGCCCAA
rnacentral:rRNA from 1 species